rnacentral:rRNA from 1 species
GAUGAACGCUGGCGGCGUGCCUAAUACAUGCAAGUCGAACGAACAGACGAUAAUCUUGCUUUUCUGAUGUUAGCGGCGGACGUGUGAGUAACACGUGGAUAACCUACCUAUCAGACUGGGAUAACUACGGGAAACCGGAUCUAAUACCGUAUAAUAUUUUGAACCGCAUGGUUCAAAAGUGAAAGACGGUCUUUCUGGCACUUAUAGAUGGAUCCGCGCUGCAUUAGCUAGUAGGUAAGGUAAAGGCUUACCAAGGCAACGAUGCAUAGCCGACCUGAGAGGGUGAUCGGCCACACUGGAACUGAGACACGGUCCAGACUCCUACGGGAGGCAGCAGUAGGGAAUCUUACGCAAUGGGCGAAAGCCUGACGGAGCAACGCCGCGUGAGUGAUGAAGGUCUUCGGAUCGUAAAACUCUGUUAUUAGGGAAGAACAUAUGUGUAAGUAACUGUGCACAUCUUGACGGUACCUAAUCAGAAAGCCACGGCUAACUACGUG